AUUGAACGCUGGCGGAAUGCUUUACACAUGCAAGUCGAACGGCAGCACGGGCUUCGGCCUGGUGGCGAGUGGCGUACGGGUGAGUAAUGUAUCGGAACGUGCCCAGUCGUGGGGGAUAACGUAGUGAAAAUUACGCUAAUACCGCAUACGAUCUAUGGAUGAAAGCGGGGGAUCGCAAGACCUCGCGCGAUUGGAGCGGCCGAUAUCAGAUUAGGUAGUUGGUGGGGUAAAGGCCCACCAAGCCAACGAUCUGUAGCUGGUCUGAGAGGACGACCAGCCACACUGGAACUGAGACACGGUCCAGACUCCUACGGGAGGCGGCAGUGGGGAAUUUUGGACAAUGGGCGAAAGCCUGAUCCAGCCAUUCCGCGUGCAGGAUGAAGGCCCUCGGGUUGUAAACUGCUUUUGUACAGAACGAAAAGGUUUCUACUAAUACUAGGAGCUCAUGACGGUACUGUAAGAAUAAGCACCGGCUAACUACGCGCCAGCAGCCGCCGUAA
rnacentral:rRNA from 1 species